UCUCAGGUUUUUUUAAAAACCACUUCAUAUUUAAGACUACUUGUAAU
rfam:Myotis lucifugus cont2.29790, whole genome shotgun sequence.